UACGGCCAUAUCAAGUUGAAACACCGGUUCGCCUACGAUAACCGAAGUUAAGCAACAUCGAGCCUGGUCAGUACUUAGAUCGGUUGCCGCUUGGUAAUGGCAGGUGCUGAAA